GAGACUUGAAUUGGGUUAUAAUCUUGUUUCUUUUGCGCCUUAGAAGUAUAUUGUAGUUACAUCCAAUAUUCUUCCACCCCCUUAAAGCUCUCAUUGAUGUCUUCUCUUAAGUUCUUAGAUGCCUUAAGAGUGUCUUGGGGUUGUAUCCAAUGUGAAUCCUCUUUGUUUCCAUGUCUGCGAACCCUCAUAUCAUCUUCUAAUGUAGAUCGCUUUGAAGGUUGUUCCACAUGUUUUAGAGAUGUAUACUCCUCCCUCCUAUCACACUGUACUGGAGCAAACCGCUUUCUCAUUGCUGUUUUUAAUUCUGCCCAUGUCUCGAACGGACGCUCCCCAUGUUUUUGUUUGCUAAGCUGCCACCAUAUAAUUGUAUGAUCGGAGAACUCUUGAACUGCCCGUCUGACCUUCCUCCGCUCGGAGUAAUCAUGACAGUCAAAUUCUCGCUCCAUUUUUCUCUCCCAUCUCAGAUAUGCCUUUGUAUCAAUAUUGCCCUGGAAAGUAUUCCUUCGAGACCCAUAAGAACUUUCAUAAUUGUAGCCAUACAUGUUUGCUACAAAACAAAGGUUAGUAGAUAAAAAUUUUCCUCACACUCCCUUACGUGUUUCGCUCAAAUAAUGAUGAAUCACUCGUGUAUCACUCAAAUUUGGCUUUUGCCCUCGAUUAUUCUCACCACUAAGCCUUUUACCUCAAAUAUUCUCUCUAAUAGGUUCUUUUUGAAUUCCCCUCGCAAAAUUCUUGGUUUUACUAAUCAAUUCAAAAAUUACUUAUCACGAAACAAAAAAAAAUAUAGAUGGUGUGAUUAUCAGAAUACCACAAAAUCACCGAUUGAUUGCCUUAUGCCUCAGAUUUGUAAUUUGUAACUCUGUUUCAGAAUUGAUGAUGAUGGAACGGUAUGAACUCUUGGUUGGAAUUUGAUGAUUUGAUGGUGUGCUACAAAUUUGGUUAGCACAAUGGAAAAUAAAAUCUGAUUUUUUUUUGUUUUUGUUUUUUUAUAUAUAUUUCGACAGAAAAGUAAAGAUAAGUAACUCGCUAGAAAGGCUUGGCUUUGAUACCAAAUGAUAGACUCUACGGCACGCUUGCGUGAGGUUGUCGUCGCCCGGAUCGUUUCUAGAACAGUUGUUGGGUGAAUUGCUUGCAACACCUUAACCCCUCGUCUAUACUUUAGACGGUAAUCUCGGUACAAUCGACGAUUGAUGCGGUAGAAGACGCCAGACACAACUAUGAAUUGUUGUAUGAUAAGUCAAAUUGAAUCUCAAAGAAAUAACUAAGAAAAUACUCUUUUCUUAGGAAUUCUUCAAAGAACCAAAAGUAGAGAAUAACCUCACAAGUUUAUUGAAUAAUGAAUAAUGUAUAUUGUGUUUGAUUACAUCAACUUGGACCUCUAUUUAUACUACUCAAAACAAUCCAAAUCCUAAUAGAAAUUUAUAAACUAUAACCCUAAUUUCUAUAAGGAAAUAGAAGUCAAUUUGGAAAGAAAUUCUAAUUAAAAAGAAAUCCUAAUUACAAUAGAAUUAUAAAAAUCUAAAAAUCCUUGCCGGGUAAAAGAAAUUAUUUGCCGCGUUAGAAUCUUUGCCGCGUGAACAUUCAUCCGUUAAUUUAGUUGGCUGCUGACUAUGCCUCAUGAUAUGCUAGAAACCCAACUUGAUUUGCUUGCUAAAUAUGUGAAUAAACCGCGGCCCACAUGCUUGAAUAUAACCCUUGCUCCAUGUUUGGUAAACAUAAAUGAAUACGUGUCCCAUAAUAUGUUAACUUGUUAAAGUAGAUGCAUGGUUGCUUAAUAUAUUUGAUGGCCCACAUGUGAAUAGUCUAAUCCUCCUUUCCAUGCAAUCUGACAUAUUAACAUGUUGAAUACAAGAUGAUGUCCCAUAAUAUUUGACCCACUAUGCUCCACAUAAAAUCCAUGCAUAGACUGAAUUGAAUGGGCCAAUUGGAUCGACCCAAUAAUACUUGAAUUGUACUCCUUUGAAUAACUUCAACCCAAUUAUUUAAAAUUAUUUGAUGAACCACUGAGACUUGAAUUGGGUUAUAAUCUUGUUUCUUUUGCGCCUUAGAAGUAUAUUGUAGUUACAUCCAAUAUUCUUCCACCCCCUUAAAGCUCUCAUUGAUGUCUUCUCUUAAGUUCUUAGAUGCCUUAAGAGUGUCUUGGGGUUGUAUCCAAUGUGAAUCCUCUUUGUUUCCAUGUCUGCGAACCCUCAUAUCAUCUUCUAAUGUAGAUCGCUUUGAAGGUUGUUCCACAUGUUUUAGAGAUGUAUACUCCUCCCUCC
rnacentral:lncRNA from 1 species